rnacentral:siRNA from 1 species
GCUUUUGGGUGUGGUUCGGCCA